rnacentral:rRNA from 1 species
GAUGAACGCUAGCGGCAGGCUUAACACAUGCAAGUCGAGGGGUAGAGGAAGCUUGCUUCCUUGAGACCGGCGCACGGGUGCGUAACGCGUAUGCAAUCUACCUUAUACAGGGGGAUAGCCCAGAGAAAUUUGGAUUAAUACCCCAUAGUAUAAUUGAAUGGCAUCAUUUAAUUAUUAAAAGUUCCAACGGUAUAAGAUGAGCAUGCGUCCCAUUAGCUAGUUGGUGUGGUAACGGCACACCAAGGCGACGAUGGGUAAGGGUCCUGAGAGGGAGAUCCCCCACACUGGUACUGAGACACGGACCAGACUCCUACGGGAGGCAGCAGUGAGGAAUAUUGGUCAAUGGGCGCAAGCCUGAACCAGCCAUGCCGCGUGCAGGAUGACGGUCCUAUGGAUUGUAAACUGCUUUUGUACAGGAAGAAACACUCCCUCGUGAGGGAGCUUGACGGUACUGUAAGAAUAAGGAUCGGCUAACUCCGUGCCAGCAGCCGCGGUAAU